rnacentral:rRNA from 1 species
UCCUUAGAUGUUCUGGGCCGCACGCGCGCUACACUGACGGAGUCAACGAGUUGUCCUGCAUCGGAAGGUGUGGGUAAUCUUUUGAAACUUCGUCGUGCUGGGGAUAGAUCUUUGCAAUUUUCGAUCUUGAACGAGGAAUUCCUAGUAAGCGUGAUUCAUCAGAUCGCGUUGAUUACGUCCCUGCCCUUUGUACACACCGCCCGUCGCUACUACCGAUUGAAUGGUUUAGUGAGGCCUCGGGACUGGCGCGCUCGAGUAGCAAUACACCUGCGCGCCGGGAACUUGGUCAAACUUGAUCAUUUAGAGGAAGUAAAAGUCGUAACA